rnacentral:rRNA from 1 species
UCCGCACGAGCGCACCCUUGUCCUUAGUUGCCAGCAUUCAGUUGGGCACUCUAAGGAGACUGCCGGUGACAAACCGGAGGAAGGUGGGGACGACGUCAAGUCACCAUGGCCCUUACGUGUAGGGCUACACACGUGCUACAAUGGCAUUUACAGAGGGAAGCGAGACAGUGAUGUGGAGCGGACCCCUUAAAGAAUGUCGUAGUCCGGAUUGGAGUCUGCAACUCGACUCCACGAAGUCGGAAUCGCUAGUAAUCGCAGGUCAGAAUACUGCGGUGAAUACGUUCCCGGGCCUUGUACACACCGCCCGUCACACCAUGGGAGUGGGAUGCAAAAGAAGUAGUUAGUCUAACCUUCGGGAGGACGAUUACCACUUUGUGUUUCAUGACUGGGGUGAAGUCGUAACAAGGUAACCCUAGGGGAACCUGGGGUUGGAUCACCUCCUU